GGGGACGACAGGAAUCGACAGGUGCAACUGGACUUGAAUUGCGGGUCGAGGUGCUACCACCCUCGUAAAACAGGUGGCAAACGAUAAUUGGCGAACGUGAACUCGCCCUCGCUGCGUAAUAUCGCAGUGGCGUGACUCUCGGUUUAAUCUCAGCGAAUUGAGAAGUCGCGACAUAUUGUCUGAGAUGCUUUUUGUUUCUGUGCUACAGGGAAACAAAACUAAGAUUUCUGUAGCUGGCUAGCAUUGCCUUUUGUUAAUGAUGAGGCGUUAGCGAGAAAAUAGUCAUUGACUACACCCGUAGUAGAUUUUUGGCAGAAGUACUCUGGACGGGGAGUUCAAUUCUCCCCCGUCUCCACCA
rnacentral:tmRNA from 1 species